UGGUGGGGUAAUGGCCCACCAAGCCUACGACGGGUAGCCGGCCUGAGAGGGUGGUCGGCCACAAGGGCACUGAGACACGGGCCCUACUCCUACGGGAGGCAGCAGUGGGGAAUCUUGGACAAUGGGCGAAAGCCUGAUCCAGCGACGCCGCGUGGGGGAUGAAGCCCUUCGGGGUGUAAACCCCUGUUGCGAGGGAGGAAUAAGGCCUGGAGGAAAUGCCAGGCCGAUGACUGUACCUCGCGAGGAAGCCCCGGCUAACUACGUGCCAGCAGCCGCGGUAAUACGUAGGGGGCGAGCGUUACCCGGAUUCACUGGGCGUAAAGCGGGUGUAGGCGGCUCGGUAAGUCGGGUGUGAAAUCCCACAGCUCAACUGUGGAAUUGCGCCCGAAACUGCUGAGCUUGGGGCCGGUAGAGGGAGACGGAACUGCCGGUGUAGGGGUGAAAUCCGCAGAUAUCGGCAGGAACGCCGGUGGGGAAGCCGGUCUCCUGGGCCGCGCCCGACGCUGAGACCCGAAAGCUAGGGGAGCAAACCGGAUUAGAU
rnacentral:rRNA from 1 species